rnacentral:rRNA from 1 species
CCUGGUUGAUUCUGCCAGUAGUCAUAUGCUUGUCUCAAAGAUUAAGCCAUGCAUGUCUAAGUAUAAGCAAUUAUACAGCGAAACUGCGAAUGGCUCAUUAUAUAAGUUAUCGUUUAUUUGAUAGUACCUUACUACUUGGAUAACCGUGGUAAUUCUAGAGCUAAUACAUGCUAAAAAUCCCGACUUCGGAAGGGAUGUAUUUAUUAGAUUAAAAACCAAUGCCCUUCGGGGCUCACUGGUGAUUCAUAAUAACUUCUCGAAUCGCAUGGCCUUGUGCCGGCGAUGGUUCAUUCAAAUUUCUUCCCUAUCAACUUUCGAUGCUAGAGUAGUGUUCUAGCAUGGUUACAACGGGUAACGGAGGGUUAGGGCUCGACCCCGGAGAAGGAGCCUGAGAAACGGCUACUACAUCCAAGGAAGGCAGCAGGCGCGCAAAUUACCCAAUCCCGACACGGGGAGGUAGUGACGAUAAAUACUGAUACAGGGCUCUUUUGGGUCUUGUAAUUGGAAUGAGUACAAUUUAAAUCCCUUAACGAGGAACAAUUGGAGGGCAAGUCUGGUGCCAGCAGCCGCGGUAAUUCCAGCUCCAAUAGCGUAUAUUAAAGUUGUUGUGGUUAAAAAGCUCGUAGUAGAACCUUGGGCCUGGCUGGCCGGUCCGCCUCACCGCGUGCACUGGUCCGGCCGGGCCUUUCCCUCUGUGGAACCGCAUGCCCUUCACUGGGUGUGCCGGGGAAACAGGACUUUUACUUUGAAAAAAUUAGAGUGCUCCAGGCAGGCCUAUGCUCGAAUACAUUAGCAUGGAAUAAUAGAAUAGGACGUGUGGUUCUAUUUUGUUGGUUUCUAGGACCGCCGUAAUGAUUAAUAGGGACAGUCGGGGGCAUCAGUAUUCAAUUGUCAGAGGUGAAAUUCUUGGAUUUAUUGAAGACUAACUACUGCGAAAGCAUUUGCCAAGGAUGUUUUCAUUUAUCAGGAACGAAAGUUAGGGGAUCGAAGACGAUCAGAUACCGUCGUAGUCUUAACCAUAAACUAUGCCGACUAGGGAUCGGACGAUGUUAUUUUUUGACUCGUUCGGCACCUUACGAGAAAUCAAAGUGCUUGGGCUCCAGGGGGAGUAUGGUCGCAAGGCUGAAACUUAAAGAAAUUGACGGAAGGGCACCACCAGGGGUAAACAGUAGCCGUUCAAGCUCUGCCCCAGACAGCGAGCCCGUAAAGGGUCCGGUGGCCAGCCCCGAAUCGCUAGUCACCCCAGCGGUGGCGACAUCCCCCAAUUGCGGGAAACCCUCGGAGGGUGGCACUCCCAAGCAGCGCUCGAAAGAGACGCUGUGGCGGCGGCGUAACGGCCGCCGGUACGGGGACAACGUGCCGCUCAUGAGGCGACUCGCAGCCAAGCCCCUAACCACGGGGAAGGUUCAGAGACUCGACGGGGAUGGGUGGCGCCCCCGGGCGCCGCCUAAGAUAGAGUCCGUACCCGCUCGAGAGAGCGGGGACUAACUAGCACGUUACCUGAAAAGGGAGCCUGCGGCUUAAUUUGACUCAACACGGGGAAACUCACCAGGUCCAGACACAAUGAGGAUUGACAGAUUGAGAGCUCUUUCUUGAUUUUGUGGGUGG